GUGGAUUAGAUACCCUGGUAGUCCACGCCCUAAACGAUGUUUACUUGCUGUUGGGGGCAACCUUAGUAGCGAAGCUAACGCGAGAAGUAAACCGCCUGGGGAGUACGGUCGCAAGAUUAAAACUCAAAGGAAUUGACGGGGACCCGCACAAGCGGUGGAUGAUGUGGAUUAAUUCGAUGCAACGCGAAAAACCUUACCUGCUCUUGACAUGUACGGAAGAUUUCAGAGAUGAGAUUGUGCCUUCGGGAACCGUAACACAGGUGCUGCACGGUCGUCGACAGCU
rnacentral:rRNA from 1 species